CCUACGGGAGGCAGCAGUGAGGAAUAUUGGUCAAUGGGCGGGAGCCUGAACCAGCCAAGCCGCGUGAGGGAAGAAGGUACAGCGUAUCGUAAACCUCUUUUGUCAGGGAACAAAGGCGGGGACUAGUCCCCGGAUGAGGGUACCUGAAGAAAAAGCAUCGGCUAACUCCGCGCCGGCAGCCGCGGUAAUCCGGGGGAUGCGAGGGUUAUCGGGAUUGAUUGGGUUAAAGGGGUGCGCAGGGGGCCUGUUAAGUCAGCGGGAAAGGCCCGGGGCUCAACUCCGGCGAGCCGUUGAAACUGGCGGGCUGGAGUUGGAGAGAGGUACGCGGAAUGCGCGGUGUAGCGGUGAAAUGCUUAGAUAUCGCGCAGAACCCCGAUGGCGAAGGCAGCGUACCGGCUCCACACUGACGCUGAGGCACGAAAGCGUGGGUAUCGAACAGGAUUAGAUACCCUUGUAGUC
rnacentral:rRNA from 1 species